AACGAACGCUGGCGGCAUGCCUAACACAUGCAAGUCGAACGAGACCUUCGGGUCUAUUGGCGCACGGGUGCGUAACGCGUGGGAACCUGCCCUUAGGUUCGGAAUAACUCCCCGAAAGGGGUGCUAAUACCGGAUAAUGUCUUCGGACCAAAGAUUUAUCGCCUUUGGAUGGGCCCGCGUUGGAUUAGCUAGUUGGUAGGGUACAAGCCUACCAAGGCGACGAUCCAUAGCUGGUCUGAGAGGAGGAUCAGCCACACUGGGACUGAGACACGGCCCAGACUCCUACGGGAGGCAGCAGUGGGGAAUAUUGGACAAGGGGCGAAAGCCUGAUCCAGCAAUGCCGCGGGAGUGAUGAAGGCCUUAGGGUUGUAAAGCUCUUUUACCCGGGAUGAUAAUGACAGUACCGGGAGAAUAAGCACCGGCUAACUCCGUG
rnacentral:rRNA from 1 species